GAUGAGGUAUAGUACACCAGGAUGAGGUACGGUACAGCAGGAUGAGGUACAGUACAGCAGGAUGAGGUACAGUAGCAGUACAGUAGAAUGAGGUACAGUAGGAUGAGGUACAGUACAGUAGGAUGAGGUACAGUACAGUAGAAUGAGGUACAGAGGCAGGUCUAGGGGCAGGUCUAUGGAGCUGGUCUAGGGGGUAGAUCUAUGGGGCAGGUCUAGGGGCAGGUCUAUGGAGCUGGUCUAUGGGCAGGUCUGUGGAACUGGUCUAAUAAUAAUAAUAAUAAUAUAUGCCAUUUAGCAGACGCUUUUAUCCAAAGCGACUUACAGUCAUGUGUGCAUACAUUCUACGUAUGGGUGGUCCCGGGGAUCGAACCCACUACCCUGGCGUUACAAGCGCCAUGCUCUACCAACUGAGCUACACAGGACCACAUGGGGUAGAUCUAUGGAGCAGGUCUAUGGAGCUGGUCUAUGGGGUAGAUCUUUUGAGCAGGUCUAGGAGCAGGUCUAUGGAGCAGGUCUAUGGGCAGGUCUAGGGGUAUAUCUAUGGAGCAGGUCUAGGGGUAUAUCUAUGGAGCAGGUCUAUGGGGCAGGUCUAGGAGCAGGUCUAUGGAGCAGGUCUAGGAGCAGGUCUAGGGGUAUAUCUAUGGAGCAGGUCUAGAAGCAGGUCUAGAAGCAGGUCUAUGGAGCAGGUCUAUGGAGCAGUUCUAGGGGUAUAUCUAUGGAGCAGGUCUAUGGAGCAGGUCUAUGGGCAGGUCUAGAAGCAGGUCUAUGAAGCAGGUCUAGGGGUAUAUCUAUGGAGCAGGUCUAGGGGUAUAUCUAUGGAGCAGGUCUAGGGGUAUAUAUAUGGAGCAGGUCUAGGGGCAGGUCUAUGGAGCAGGUCUAUGGAGCAGGUCUAGGGGUAUAUCUAUGGAGCAGGUCUAUGGAGCAGGUCUAGGGGUAUAUCUUUGGAGCAGGUCUAUGGAGCAGGUCUAGGGGUAUAUCUAUGGAGCAGGUCUAGGGGUAUAUAUAUGGAGCAGGUCUAUGGGGCAGGUCUAGGAGCAGGUCUAUGGAGCAGGUCUAGGAGCAGGUCUAGGGGUAUAUCUAUGGAGCAGGUCUAGAAGCAGGUCUAGAAGCAGGUCUAUGGAGCAGGUCUAUGGAGCAGUUCUAGGGGUAUAUCUAUGGAGCAGGUCUAUGGAGCAGGUCUAUGGGCAGGUCUAGAAGCAGGUCUAUGAAGCAGGUCUAGGGGUAUAUCUAUGGAGCAGGUCUAGGGGUAUAUCUAUGGAGCAGGUCUAGGGGUAUAUAUAUGGAGCAGGUCUAGGGGCAGGUCUAUGGAGCAGGUCUAUGGAGCAGGUCUAGGGGUAUAUCUAUGGAGCAGGUCUAUGGAGCAGGUCUAGGGGUAUAUCUUUGGAGCAGGUCUAUGGAGCAGGUCUAGGGGUAUAUCUAUGGAGCAGGUCUAGGGGUAUAUAUAUGGAGCAGGUCUAUGGGGCAGGUCUAGGAGCAGGUCUAUGGAGCAGGUCUAGGAGCAGGUCUAGGGGUAUAUCUAUGGAGCAGGUCUAGAAGCAGGUCUAGAAGCAGGUCUAUGGAGCAGGUCUAUGGAGCAGUUCUAGGGGUAUAUCUAUGGAGCAGGUCUAUGGAGCAGGUCUAUGGGCAGGUCUAGAAGCAGGUCUAUGAAGCAGGUCUAGGGGUAUAUCUAUGGAGCAGGUCUAGGGGUAUAUCUAUGGAGCAGGUCUAGAAGCAGGUCUAUGGAGCAGGUCUAUGGAGCAGUUCUAGGGGUAUAUCUAUGGAGCAGGUCUAUGGAGCAGGUCUAUGGGCAGGUCUAGAAGCAGGUCUAUGAAGCAGGUCUAGGGGUAUAUCUAUGGAGCAGGUCUAGGGGUAUAUCUAUGGAGCAGGUCUAGGGGUAUAUAUAUGGAGCAGGUCUAGGGGCAGGUCUAUGGAGCAGGUCUAUGGAGCAGGUCUAGGGGUAUAUCUAUGGAGCAGGUCUAUGGAGCAGGUCUAGGGGUAUAUCUUUGGAGCAGGUCUAUGGAGCAGGUCUAGGGGUAUAUCUAUGGAGCAGGUCUAGGGGUAUAUAUAUGGAGCAGGUCUAGGGGCAGGUCUAUGGAGCAGGUCUAUGGAGCAGGUCUAGGGG